rnacentral:rRNA from 1 species
GGAAAGCUUCGGCCGGAAGAUGCGUUAUCUAGUGGCGGACGGGUGAGUAACACGUGGGUAACCUGCCUUAUGGAGGGGGAUAACAGAGAGAAAUCACUGCUAAUACCGCAUAAGCACACAGUACCGCAUGGUAGAGUGUGAAAAGAUUUAUCGCCAUAAGAUGGACCCGCGUCUGAUUAGCCAGUUGGCAGGGUAAAAGCCUACCAAAGCGACGAUCAGUAGCCGAUCUGAGAGGAUGACCGGCCACAUUGGGACUGAGACACGGCCCAAACUCCUACGGGAGGCAGCAGUGGGGAAUAUUGCACAAUGGGGGAAACCCUGAUGCAGCGACGCCGCGUGAGUGAAGAAGUAUUUCGGUAUGUAAAGCUCUAUCAGCAGGGAAGAUAAUGAC